rnacentral:lncRNA from 1 species
GUUUAACACUCAGAUUUCACCUCCUCCGGGGGCUGACCCGGAUCUCCUAGGCGGAGAUCUUUGAGGUUCCAAAGUACUUGGCCCAAAAGUUAUCCAAGUGUUCUGACGUCAUCGUGCAACCCAAUCAGUGAAGGAUCCUGUCUGGAUAUGCAUUGUCCUAGGCCCACCCACAAACGUUUGGAUUAAAGAUCUGAGACAGGACCCAAAGUUUGAAUUUUUAACAAGAGUGCUUCCCAACCCCCAAAUUGUUCCCAUGUCACGCUGCUGUAUCUCCCCUCACCCACCGAGACUGGGUGCAUCUUGAAGGGAGAGAUGAUAUAUUACUCAUUCGGUGCCCACCACAGGCCCUGCCCAGAACGCAUGCUUAAGGCAUGAAAGAUGGAUGCAUAGAAGCCAAUACAUGAAUUAGUGAACAAACGAAUGAACCCGCCCUCUCCACGUCUGUCCCACCCAUCCAACUCCAGUGACCUGUCCUCCUCAGCCUGACCACCUCUCUUUCUUACAGGGUCGAGGCUCUUUGUGCACCCUCCCAACCGAGUCUUGCAGCUGCAGGUGUGUACACAUGUUCCAGUUCCUCUCCCCAGGGAGAGCAGGAGGUCCACUGGCCAACACUUAUUAAGCACCUGGUGGCCCGCACUAGGUGAUGUUGAAGCCACAGAAGACAGGGCAGUGGGAAAAGCAGCAGGAGCCGCUGCCCUGAGGAGCCUCCAAGCCCAGGCAGAGGGCCAGCCGCACAGAUGGUGUUGGAACCGAACUAGAGGACACCUGGCUGAUGUCCACUGCUUGGUGUGUGUGGCAAAACCCUCCACACAUUUGGUCACAGAAGUCUUCUGGGUUGAUAAUUUUCUGUGGCGUGAGAGCAGAGGGAAGACACAGUUUGAGGUGGGAUUUAUCUUCUUUAAGACAACUUCCCGACCUUGGGCACGUAGAAGGCAGCUGAAGGCAGUGGUGGAUUCUGUCAUUUCAAGCAAAAUCACAUUCAAUUUUUUGACAGCCGCAGGCUUGGGUGGUGUUAAAUUGUGUCAUUUUAGUAUUAAAGAAACACGAUAAAACUUUCAAAGCCUGAUCAUGUGUCUCGGCUGUUUACUGUGGAAAGGUAGGAAAUUGGCUAGAGCAAAAACUAUUCAUGUGAAAAAUAAGGAUUUCAGGUACCUCAGACAACCACACAGACAUAACCCACGGUUUAAAUUGGUAUUUGUGUGGCUAUAUUUGGAGGCAUAAAAAAAUAAACAGAUGUGGAUUUAUCAAAUGAACCCAAGCGAGGCCAGGUCAAAGGAAAUUUCCAGGAGAAACUCCACACAUUAAAUUUCUCUUUGUAAUACAAAAUGACACACUUAAACAAAGAACAGGCUGUACCAACAAGGGCAUUUUAUCUCUAAAG